GCCAUAUGUUGUGUAUGUUAAAUUAAUCAAAGGGAAACAUGUCACUUCUACCAUGAAUAAUUAUGUUUUGUGAUUGGGCAUAAUGAAGUUAUGUAACUUUAGCAUGAUGCCCAAUAACCAACGACUUCCCAAAUCCAGUAAUGUUGUCACAACCUAAUUCCUUUGGAUAAGAUGACCAAUGGCUUUUACAACGCCAGAACAGAUGGUGGCAGUAGUGUGCGGAUUGUGUGUGGCAGCCGGAAACAACGAGCUUGCCGAGUUCUUUGAAUGAAUACAUAUCCGCGGACACUCUGAAGGCGGCAUUCAAGAUGUUUGUAGGGUCCUCACCUCAGCUACCUCUCACAAGGUGCCCCUGAAAAAGAAAUUCAAGACGUUUGGGUCCUCAGCUCAACUGACCAAGACCUUUGCUCAUUGAAGGCAUGAAGUAAUUUGUGAUGCCCCCACGAUUGCAGUUUUUAAAUCCAGAUGGCUUGCUCUUUUUAACAUGUGCGAGAGCUGGAUGGUCUUUCAACAACACUGCUCCGGGUCUUCAGCAAGAAAGGUGCUUCUCAUGCAAGGAAGAUACAGAGGAUCCUGGUGCCCAUGACUCAGACUGACAACAUUGAUGUGAAGAGGGAGUGCAUGCUGAGGAGCUGACGGUCUACCUGAAUGAAGAGCCAGACAAAGUGGAUGUUGAUCUGGACGGUCCAGCUGAAACGUAUUGUCUUCGUGUGCGUGUGAUCGGCAGAGAGUCCUCAACGACAUUGGUAACGUACCUGUGGCCAUUGCAGUGUUUGUUUUGGUUUAUGCUCUUAAUCUCUGUUACCUUCCAGAAUGGAAGUACACUUUCAAAUUUCUGUUUCAUUCUAACCGUCUGUUUCAUCAGUUUUUGCACUGCUUUUAAAUGUACACUGUGUAAGAUUCUUAGUUGUUUAUUUCCAGAAUUCAUGCUACCCAUUCACUAAUGUUACCUUUUUCAUGAAUACUUAGCACCACCAUUAGGGUGCAUCAGUUGCCCCCUAUGAAAAGAUAUGGCCUUGGCC